rnacentral:lncRNA from 1 species
ACACAGCCUUGGGAGUUAUUUAAAGUAAUAUAUUUUUAAUUGCAUCUUAUAGCUGAGAAAGGCACUGGGAUCUUCUGUACAAUUCCUUUCAAGGUGACCUUUGCACAGCUGUGUUGUCUGGACAAGCUGCGGUGUCGCAGUUAAUAAGGGCACUCAUUGGAAAAACAGCGUCACCCGUGUUAGGUCUGCUGGCUCCCUGCAGACCUGCAGUGAUUGGGAAGGUGUUAGAGCAGCCCUGCAAGGAAACCUCGGUCCCGAGGAAGGCACUGAUAAAGUUCCUGCAGUGCUGAAGUUAGCCAGGGCUUCCUCGUUUGGUCUUUGGUUGGGAGCCUGGUUUUCCUCAGCUGCUGGUUUUGGCCAACCAUUCACCUGUAGGACUUCGUUUUUCUUCAAAGGAUGAUUGUUUUGCUGUGCCCACACCACCGCCAUGGAGCUGCACCGAUGAAAUAGGGGCUUUGUGAGCAGUUCCUUGUCCUGCGUGAGGAGGAGCCUUCCCUGCAGCCAUGUGAAAGCUUAUCCUCACUUGGAUGGCGAUCAGCGUGCCUCGGUGGAUGGAGCGCUGGCCGCCUGUGUGUCAUUAAGGAGCUCGAAGAGUCAAUUCAGUCCAGACAGUAAACAAUGAAUUGCUGACACUUUCGGCUCUGCUGGGGCUAAAGAAUACCAGCGCACACAUCUGAGCCCUAUCAGUGGAAACACACAAGGAUUAGAUUCUUUUGGUGACGGCUGCAGUUUUAUUGUGAAUAAUCUGAUGGGAGCCUGAUGGUGUCCAACACAUCCAUUCUUGCCUUGUGAUUCUUUUGCCAUCUGAAAUGUUGUUAGUUUUAAUGACAUAAUUAUCCUUUAUAUUUUCAGUUAGAUGUGUGGGUUGUGUUUUUUUUUUUUUUUUUUCU